rnacentral:rRNA from 1 species
UACGGAGGGAGCAAGCGUUACUCGGAAUUAUUGGGCGUAAAGGGCGCGUAGGCGAUCCUGUAAGUCUCGUGUGAAAUCCCAGGGCUUAACCCUGGAAUGGCAAGAGAAACUGCUGGAAUUGAGUUCCGGAGAGGAAGGCAGAAUUCCCGGUGUAGCGGUGAAAUGCGUAGAUAUCGGGAGGAAUACCAGUGGCGAAGGCGGCCUUCUGGACGGAUACUGACGCUGAGGCGCGAAAGCCAGGGGAGCGAACGGG